UGCAGGCGCCGUCCCCGCUCCUGCCCCAGCAGGGCCGGCUGGCGGAGUCAGAGGAGCCCGGCCGGGAGGGACCCAGAAGGAAGGGCCGCGGCGGAGACCGGACAGCCGGCAGUGGGUGCCUCCCGCUCUGGCUGAAAUCCUCUCCCACUGGGACAUCUGGAUGACCUCUGAACUUCUCGGGCACGUGGCCUGGACACGGCCAGAGCAAGAGUGGGUGUGGAUCCCCCACCCUCGUCUACGGUCGUUUCUUAAUUGAACUGGGAGCGCCUGAGCAGCAGCCACCAGGCUUACUGUUUUUCCCAGGUGUCAGCGUGAACCGUGGUAAAAUGCUGGAAAAUGAAAUUGAACGAUUGAGGAGUAUCUCCUACUUAACAGCACUUUCCAGCUCCCAAGCCCCCUGCAGACGCAGAGGUGGACUUGCUGCUGCAGAGCUCGGUCACCAGGGGGCGCGAGAGGGUUUGCUCCGGGCCCAGCUCGGCUGCAGGCACCGGCUGGGGCUGCUUGGCCUCCGGGGCAGACUCACCGGCAGAAACCGCCAGGGGAACCUGUGCCAGUGAUUUCCUGAGCAGUGAUUGUUAAGUUUCUGGAGGCUCAGCGAAAAUACGGCUGAGAGCUAAAAACUCCAGGGGGACCCAGUUUUAUGAUGCCGCACCCUCUAGCAAGAUUUUCUUCCAGGAGUAUGAGCAGGUUCCCGCAGUACGUAUCGGAGACAAAUACCAUUGUGUUUCUAGCAGGAGGAAGGGAAAAGGAGUCAUUCAAAAGGUACCAGAGCACUCUGUUCUUUUUUUUUUACUUAAAAAAAUGUACUGAUGGAUUUUAGAGUGAGGAAUGGAGAGAAGGAAAGAG